rnacentral:rRNA from 1 species
GAUGAACGCUGGCGGCGUGCCUAAUACAUGCAAGUCGAGCGAACGGACGAGAAGCUUGCUUUUCUGAUGUUAGCGGCGGACGGGUGAGUAACGCGUGGAUAACCUACCUAUAUGACUGGGAUAACUUCGGGAAACCGGAUCUAAUACCGGAUAAUAUUUUGAACCGCAUUGUUCAAAAGUGAAAGACGGUCUUGCUGUCACUUAUAGAUGGCUCCGAGCUGCAUUAGCUAGUUGGUAAGGUAACGGCUUACCAAGGCUACGAUGCAUAGCCGACCUGAGAGGGUGAUCGGCCACACUGGAACUGAGACACGGUCCAGACUCCUACGGGAGGCAGCAGUAGGGAAUCUUCGGCAAUGGGCGGAAGCCUGACGGAGCAACGCCGCGUGAGUGAUGAAGGUCUUCGGAUCGUAAAACUCUGUUAUUAGGGAAGAACAGAUGUGUGAGUAAAUGUGGCCAUCUUGACGGUACCUAAAGAGAAAGCCACGGCUAACUACGUG